UCAGCUGUGGCGAUGUAGGGUUGCUUUUCCUAUAAAUAAUCAUCUUUUCAAUCAAGCCAUCCAAACUCAAUACGUCCAUUCAUACAUAGCCACAGCCCAAACGAAGAAUGAUUGCCGCUAAGAAAAUACUCACAGCUUCAGUCAAUGACUUCCAUUUCUCUCCAGCAGCUUUUCCAACCUGAUGUUCCCAACCAAUCAACAUAAACCCACCGGUCACACAAACAAAUUGGGCGUAACCCUAAGAAACACCAGAAAUAACAAACACUCACAGCAGCAACUG
rnacentral:lncRNA from 1 species